UACGAAGGGGGCUAACGUUGCUCGGAAUUACUGGGCGUAAAGGGCGCGUAGGCGGAUACUUAAGUCGGGGGUGAAAGCCCGGGGCUCAACCUCGGAAUUGCCUUCGAUACUGGGUAUCUUGAGUUCGGGAGAGGUGAGUGGAAUGCCGAGUGUAGAGGUGAAAUUCGUAGAUAUUCGGAAGAACACCAGUGGCGAAGGCGGCUCACUGGACGACUGUUGACGCUGAGGUGCGAAAGCGUGGGGAGCAAACAGG
rnacentral:rRNA from 1 species